rnacentral:tRNA from 1 species
GUUCUAAUAGUUUAACAUAAAACAUUGGUCUUGUAAACCAAAAAUAAGAUCAUUCUUUUAAAACU